GUAACGGCGAGUGAAGCGGGAAGAGCACAAAUUUUAAAUCUACCUGGUUUCCAGGUCGAGUUGUAAUUUGARGAUACGUUUUUGAYGUUCCGGGUUGGACUAAAUCCUUUGGGAUAAGGUAUCAURGAGGGUGAGAAUCCCGUAUAUACCAACCNNAGGGAUGUUAUUUAAUACGUUUCUAAGAGUCGAGUUGUUUGGGAAUGCAGCUCUAAAUGGGUGGUAAAUUUCACYUAAUGCUAAAUAUAAGCGAGAGACCGAUAGCGAACAAGUACAGUGAUGGAAAGAUGAAAAGAACUUUGAAAAGAGAGUUAAAUAGUACGUGAAAUUGUUGAAAGGGAAACGAUUGAAGUCAGUCAUGCCRGUGGGAAUCAACUUAGRGGAAACUCURRGUGCACUUCUUCGCUUGGCAGGUYARYGUCGAUUUUGGAUGUCAUAAAAURAYUGGGGGAAGGUAGCUCCUUYGGGAGUGUUAUAGCCCUUGGUAGAUGUGAUGUCUGGGAUCGAGGAUUGCAAYGGAUACCCUUURGGGCUAGYCRCCUGAUCUCUAAUURGURUURGRUUACGGAYAGCAUGCUGACCGUGAUYUAAUUAUUGGUUAAAAGGUUAGAGUGCACAUAAAUUCGUUAAGG
rnacentral:rRNA from 1 species